GACGAACGCUGGCGGCGUGCUUAACACAUGCAAGUCGAACGGUGAAGCGCCUUCCUUUUUGGUGGGUGUGGAUGAGUGGCGAACGGGUGAGUAACACGUGAGUAACCUGCCCCCUUCUUCUGGAUAACCGCAUGAAAGUGUGGCUAAUACGGGAUAUUCUGGGUCUGUCGCAUGAUGGGUCUGGGAAAGAUAUUGUUUCGGUGGGGGAUGGGCUCGCGGCCUAUCAGCUUGUUGGUGGGGUGAUGGCCUACCAAGGCGGUGACGGGUAGCCGGCCUGGGAGGGUGGACGGUCACACUGGGACUGAGACACGGCCCGGACUCCUACGGGAGGCAGCAGUGGGGAAUAUUGCACAAUGGGCGAAAGUCUGAUGCGGCGACGCCGCGUGAGGGAUGGAGGCCUUCGGGUUGCGAACCUCUUUCGCCAGUGAAGCAGGCCUGCCUCGUUUGUGGGUGGGUUGACGGUAGCUGGAUAAGAAGCGCCGGCUAACUACGUG
rnacentral:rRNA from 1 species